CGGGCUAUAGCGCAGUUGGUAGCGCGCUUCGUUCGGGACGAAGAGGUCGCGAGUUCGAGUCUCGCUAGCCCGA
rnacentral:tRNA from 1 species